rnacentral:misc_RNA from 1 species
GUUGAUAAUCCCUCAGGUAAGUCAGCUUGGAGCUGCAGCACAAAAAUACCAGGCUUCUGCUCAAAAAGCAUCAUCCGGCUCAUCGAAACUUGAUUUAGAAAGUAACUGUAAUAUGUUUCUUGCAUCUGCUCGUCAAUUAGCAAAAGCUUUGGAGGUACCUUUAGUUAAUGAUUUGGGAUAUUCAAAGAGAUACGCGCGAUGUCUCCAGAUAUCAGAGGUGGUUAAUAGCAUGAAGGACUUGAUUGACUACAGUCGAGAGACUGGAAAGGGACCAAUGGAGAGUUUGGCGCAGUUUUCCCAUAGGACUAGGCCAGGGCUACAUUAUUCAGUUCAGCA